GAAAAAAUGAACUUUGGCUACCUACCUGGGAGUCUCGUGAGUGAAAACAUCCGAAGUUCAUCAAAGGUAAACGAUUUAAUUUGAUUGCUUUUCUGAUUUUUGUGACAAGGUUGCCUGCUGCUCGUAAAGAAUAAUGCUAUGCUAAUCUACGAUAAACUUAGACAAAUGCUUGUCUAGCUUUGGUUGUAAAGCAUAUUUUGAAAAUCUGAGAUGACAGGGUGGUUAACAAAAGGCUAAGCUGUGUUCCAAUAUAUUUCACUUGUGAUGUUCAUGAAUAGGAAGAUUUUCUAGGAAGAUUUUCUAGGAAGAUUUAUGUCCGUUGCGUUGUGCUAAUUAGUUUCAGUCGAUGAUUACACUCCCGGACCCGUGUUUGAGAGUCACAAGAAGUAGGACUAUCUGAAAUAAUGUUGGUUCUUAUUUAUUUUGAGCAAAGGCAAUGAAUGAGUGAGUCACUCAAAUGUAUGUGGGUACUGGCUAUAUGACUGUGCCAUCAACUUGAUAAUAUAUAACCAUAUUUUGGAGGUUAUUUCAUUUAAAAAAUAAAAAAUAAACGUUUUUGAACGUGAAUGUUUUUAAUCUGAAUAAAGGCCAAAAUAAUAUUUGUAAAGGCCAAAACAUUUAUUUAUGUUUUUAGAGGGAGAGAAACGCUGGGCCAAUUGUGCACCACUCCAUUUGACUCACGGUCAGAUGUGAUACAUUCUUUUUUUUUUAAUUACUUUUUGUGGUAUUUAUUUGUUUGGUCUUUUCUGGUGGAUUAAACUUGCAACCAAUUGCAACCAAUCACAGCCGGUUGUGAUACAGCCAACCAAACUUAGAAAUACAUUUGAUGACAAAAUUCUCCCACUACCCUCCUUCGAGGCAAGUCUAUUGUCCAGCUGCUUCCUAUAGCCAUUAUUUUAUUAACAAAAUCAUAAGGAUGCCAUUAUUAGUUAAAUUGUUUUAGUUUGAACGUGCAGACUGGCACCAGGAACAGUGGUAACAUUUUCCUUUAAUUUCCCAACAUUUCAGCGCCGUUAUUAUUGAAAUGCACCUUAAAGUGUUGCUCUGAUCUACCCAGUGUGGAGGGGUGGGGAUUCAGAAAGAGACUAAUCAGGAUGGAGGGAAAGAUGAACAGAGCAAUAUACAGAGAGAUCCUUGAUGAAAACCUGAUCUAGGGCGAUCAGGAUGUCAGACUGGUGUGAAGGUUCAACUUUCAACAGGACAACAACCCUAAGCACACAGCCAAGACAACGCAGGAGUGGCUUCAGAAAAAUUAUCUGAAUAUCCUUGUUUGGCCCAGCCAGAGCCUGGACUUGAACCCGAUCAAACACAGACAAACUCUGGAGCUGUGGAGAAAGUGACCAUCGGGAUCUUGGUCACCUCCCUAACCAAGGCCCUUCUCCCUCGAUUGCUCAGUUUGGCAUGGCGACGAUCGUACAAUCUUGGAAAAUAGCUGUGCAGCGAGGCUCCCCGUCUAACCUGACAAAGCUUGAGAGGAUCUGCAGAGAAGGAUGGGAGAAACUUCGCAAUUACAGGUGUGCCAAGCUUGUAGGGUCAUACCCAAGAAGACACAAGGCUGUAAUCACUGCCAAAGGUGUUUCAACAAAGUACUGAUUAAAGGGUCUGUAUUCUUUUGUAAAUCUGAAAUUGAAGGUUGUUUUUUUAAGCCUAUUUUUGCUUUUUAAUUUGGGGGUUGAUGGGUGUAUAUUGAUGAGGGACAGCUAGGGGGUAUGGGUUUGGGAGGUUGACUUUAGCUUCAGUUGACUUUAGUUGUAUGAUUUGGGUUUAAAGUUUGCUAAUGUGUUAAGUCUUCUUCCACUUCAAUAAAACUUAAGCAUGACGAAAGAAGGCUGUGAUUUUAUUUACACCUGUAUGUUUAUUUUCACACAAAGGUCAAAGGUCUACCCAAGCCCACACCAACAAUAUGCCCCAAAGCCCCAGGAAGUAAAAGACUCAAAUGACUGUUUAGGAUGACCCUUCACAAUUGAAUCUUGAGCCUUCAUGAUCCAGGGAUAGAUCAUGUGGGAGACCAAGGUCACCUUCAGCCUCUUCAGAUGAGAGAUCUCCCUCACCAAAGCCCUGCAAAGAGUCAGAUUAUAUUCCUAUGUCGGAAGCAAUUAUGACAUGUAUUUUGAAACACUUUUGGAAGUGAACAAAUGUAAAACUACUUUGUUUGAGGAUGUCCCCCAAAAAUCCUGACCUUUUUAAAGUGAGUCCAGUUGAGAAUGUCAACCUGAACGAGACGGAGGAAGAGUUACUAAAGAUGGAAGAGUAGCUUUAAAAGCAAUGAUUUUCGAAAAUACGUGAUAUCUCAGAUCUCAAAGGAGGAAAGACAUCCUGGACCGGGUGAAGAGAGCAAUGCGCU